GCGCCGAUAGCGCAGUUGGCAGAGCAGUGGGACGGUACUCCACGGUCCUGGGUUCAAGUCCCGGUCGACGCU